GGAACGAGUUAUCUGAACCUUCGGGGAACGAUAACGGCGUCGAGCGGCGGACGGGUGAGUAAUGCCUGGGAAAUUGCCCUGAUGUGGGGGAUAACCAUUGGAAACGAUGGCUAAUACCGCAUAAUAGCUUCGGCUCAAAGAGGGGGACCUUCGGGCCUCUCGCGUCAGGAUAUGCCCAGGUGGGAUUAGCUAGUUGGUGAGGUAAGGGCUCACCAAGGCGACGAUCCCUAGCUGGUCUGAGAGGAUGAUCAGCCACACUGGAACUGAGACACGGUCCAGACUCCUACGGGAGGCAGCAGUGGGGAAUAUUGCACAAUGGGCGCAAGCCUGAUGCAGCCAUGCCGCGUGUAUGAAGAAGGCCUUCGGGUUGUAAAGUACUUUCAGCAGUGAGGAAGGUGGUGUGCUUAAUACGUGCAUCAUUUGACGUUAGCUGCAGAAGAAGCACCGGCUAACUCCGUGCCAGCAGCCGCGGUAAUACGGAGGGUGCGAGCGUUAAUCGGAAUUACUGGGCGUAAAGCGCAUGCAGGUGGUUUGUUAAGUCAGAUGUGAAAGCCCGGGGCUCAACCUCGGAAUUGCAUUUGAAACUGACAGACUAGAGUACUGUAGAGGGGGGUAGAAUUUCAGGUGUAGCGGUGAAAUGCGUAGAGAUCUGAAGGAAUACCGGUGGCGAAGGCGGCCCCCUGGACAGAUACUGACACUCAGAUGCGAAAGCGUGGGGAGCAAACAGGAUUAGAUACCCUGGUAGUCCACGCCGUAAACGAUGUCUACUUGGAGGUUGUGGCCUUGAGCCGUGGCUUUCGGAGCUAACGCGUUAAGUAGACCGCCUGGGGAGUACGGUCGCAAGAUUAAAACUCAAAUGAAUUGACGGGGGCCCGCACAAGCGGUGGAGCAUGUGGUUUAAUUCGAUGCAACGCGAAGAACCUUACCUACUCUUGACAUCCAUAGAACUUUCCAGAGAUGGAUUGGUGCCUUCGGGAACUAUGAGACAGGUGCUGCAUGGCUGUCGUCAGCUCGUGUUGUGAAAUGUUGGGUUAAGUCCCGCAACGAGCGCAACCCUUAUCC
rnacentral:rRNA from 1 species